rnacentral:tRNA from 1 species
GGUGGUAGAGCUCAAUGGUAGAGUGCUUCCCUAGCAUGUAGGAGGCCCUGGGUUCAAUCCCCAAUACCACCA